rnacentral:rRNA from 1 species
AGCAGCCGCGGUAAUUCCAGCUCCAAUAGCGUAUAUUAAAGUUGUUGCAGUUAAAAAGCUCGUAGUUGAAUUUCGGGAUUAGUGCGCUGGUCAUGCCUUUGGUAUGUACUGGUGUUACUGAUUUCUACCUUCUGAAGAACCGUUAUGUCAUUUAUUUGGUGUGGCGGGGAAUCAGGACUGUUACUUUGAAAAAUUAGAGUGUUUAAAGCAGGCUCGCGCUUGAAUACAUUAGCAUGGAAUAAUGAAAUAGGACGUUUGACCCUAUUUUGUUGGUUUCUAGGAUCGACGUAAUGAUUAAUAGGGAUAGUUGGGGGCAUUAGUAUUCAAUUGUCAGAGGUGAAAUUCUUGGAUUUAUUGAAGACUAACUACU